rnacentral:rRNA from 1 species
AUCUAUGGCCACACCACCUAGUAUGCGCCUGAUGUUGUCUGAUCUCAGGAGGCUAAGCAGGGUCAGGCCCAGUUAAUACUUGGAUGGGAGACACUGCCUUAUUGUCCAACAAUAAACAUAUGAACCUCUGAAUG